ACUCAAAUGAAUAGACGGGGGCCCGCACAAGCGGUGGAGCAUGUGGUUCAAUUCGACGCAACGCGAAGAACCUUACCUGGGCUCGAACGGCUGUGGACGGGUGCAGAAACGUGCCUUUCCUUCGGGACCGCAGUCGAGGUGCUGCAUGGCUGUCGUCAGCUCGUGUCGUGAGAUGUUGGGUUAAGUCCCGCAACGAGCGCAACCCUCGUCCGUUGUUGCCAGGCUUUUACGAGCGGCACUCGGCGGAGACCGCCAGCGAAAAGUUGGAGGAAGGUGGGGACGACGUCAAGUCAUCAUGGCCUUUAUGUCCAGGGCUACACACGUGCUACAAUGGGCAGUACAACGGGUUGCCAAGCCGCAAGGUGGAGCUAAUCCCUAAAAGCUGUCCUCAGUUCGGAUCGCAGGCUGCAACUCGCCUGCGUGAAGCUGGAAUCGCUAGUAAUGGCGCAUCAGAACGGCGCCGUGAAUACGUUCCCGGGCCUUGCACACACCGCCCGU
rnacentral:rRNA from 1 species